AGGAUGAACGCUGGCGGCGUGCUUAACACAUGCAAGUCGAACGAUGAAGCCGGAGCUUGCUCUGGUGGAUUAGUGGCGAACGGGUGAGUAACACGUGAGUAACCUGCCCUUGACUCUGGGAUAAGCACUGGAAACGGUGUCUAAUACCGGAUACGAACUUCGACGGCAUCGUCAGGAGUUGGAAAGAAUUUCGGUCAAGGAUGGACUCGCGGCCUAUCAGCUAGUUGGUGAGGUAACGGCCCACCAAGGCGACGACGGGUA
rnacentral:rRNA from 1 species